rnacentral:rRNA from 1 species
GAACGGUGAAGCCCUUCGGGGUGGAUCAGUGGCGAACGGGUGAGUAACACGUGGGCAAUCUGCCCUGCACUCUGGGACAACCCGGGGAAACUCGGGCUAAUACCGGAUAUGACUGCCUCGCGCAUGCGGGGUGGUGUAAAGCUCCGGCGGUGCAGGAUGAGCCCGCGGCCUAUCAGCUUGUUGGUGGGGUGAUGGCCUACCAAGGCGACGACGGGUAGCCGGCCUGAGAGGGCGACCGGCCACACUGGGACUGAGACACGGCCCAGACUCCUACGGGAGGCAGCAGUGGGGAAUAUUGCACAAUGGGCGGAAGCCUGAUGCAGCGACGCCGCGUGAGGGAUGACGGCCUUCGGGUUGUAAACCUCUUUCAGCAGGGAAGAAGCGCAAGUGACGGUACCUGCAGAAGAAGCACCGGCUAACUACGUGCCAGCAGCCGCGGUAAU